GACGAACGCUGGCGGCGUGCUUAACACAUGCAAGUCGAACGGUAAGGCCUUUCGGGGUACACGAGUGGCGAACGGGUGAGUAACACGUGGGUGAUCUGCCCUGCACUUCGGGAUAAGCCCGGGAAACUGGGUCUAAUACCGGAUAGGACUGCGCGGUGCAUGCCGUGUGGUGGAAAGAUUUAUCGGUGCAGGAUGGGCCCGCGGCCUAUCAGCUUGUUGGUGGGGUAAUGGCCUACCAAGGCGACGACGGGUAGCCGGCCUGCGAGGGCGACCGGCCACACUGGGACUGAGAGACGGCCCAGACUCCUACGGGAGGCAGCAGUGGGGAAUAUUGCACAAUGGGCGCAAGCCUGAUGCAGCGACGCCGCGUGAGGGAUGACGGCCUUCGGGUUGUAAACCUCUUUCAGCAGGGACGAAGCGUGAGUGACGGUACCUGCAGAAGAAGCUCCGGCCAACUACGUG
rnacentral:rRNA from 1 species